UCAUGGSMAYGWCUAAGUAUAAGCAAUUUAUACGGUGAAACUGCRAAUGGCUCAUUAAAWCAGUUAUCGUUWAUUUGAUAGUACCUUACUACAUGGAUACCUGUGGUAAUUCUAGAGCUAAUACAUGCUAAAAACCUCGACUUCGGAAGGGGKGUAUUUAUUARAUAAAAAACCAAUGCCCUUCGGGGYUCCUUGGUGAAUCAUAAUAACUUAACRAAUCGMAUGGCCUUGCGCCGGCRAUGGUUCAUUCAAAUUUCUGCCCUAUCAACUUUCGAUGGKAGGAUAGKGGCCUACCAUGGUGGCAACGGGUAACGGGGAAUUAGGGUUCGAUUCCGGAGAGGGAGCCUGASAAACGGCUACCACAUCCAAGGAAGGCRGCRGGCGCGCAAAUUACCCAAUCCCGACACGGGGAGGUAGUGACAAUAAAUACUGAUACGGGGCUCUUUUGGGUCUCGUAAUUGGAAUGAGUACAAUCUAAAUCCCUUAACGAGGAACAAUUGGAGGGCAAGUCUGGUGCCAGCAGCCGCGGUAAUUCCAGCUCCAAUAGCGUAUAUUAAAGUUGUUGCAGUUAAAAAGCUCGYAGUUGAACCUUGGGUCUGGCUGGCCGGUCCGCCUCACCGCGAGUACUGAWCCGGCUGACCUUUCCUUCUGGGAACCUCAUGGCCUUCACUGGCURUSGGGACAGACUUUACUGUGAAAAAUURAUAUCAAGCAGCCUAGCUCGAUMAUUMGCAUGGAUAUMSAAUAGACGKRMGAUCUAUUUUUGWUGGCUUCAGRAA
rnacentral:rRNA from 1 species